CUAAACGACUCUCGGCAACGGAUAUCUCGGCUCUUGCAUCGAUGAAGAACGUAGCGAAAUGCGAUACUUGGUGUGAAUUGCAGAAUCCCGUGAACCAUCGAGUCUUUGAACGCAAGUUGCGCCUGAAGCCAUCAGGUUGAAGGCACGUCUGCUUGGGCGUCACGCAU
rnacentral:rRNA from 6 species